rnacentral:rRNA from 1 species
AGUGAACGCUGGCGGCGUGCUUAACACAUGCAAGUCGAACGAGAACGGAUUAUAGCUUGCUAUAAUUGUCAGCUAAGUGGCGUACGGGUGAGUAAUGUAUAGGUAAUAUGCCUCUUACUAAGGGAUAACAAAUGGAAACGUUUGCUAAUACCUUAUACUCCUUAUUAACAGAAGUUAAUAAGGGAAAGAUUUAUUGGUAAGAGAUUAGCCUGUAUUGUAUCAGUUAGUUGGUGGGGUAAUGGCUUACAAAGACUAUGACACAUAACUGGUUUGAGAGGAUGAUCAGUCACACUGGAACUGAGACACGGUCCAGACUCCUACGGGAGGCAGCAGUGGGGAAUAUUGCACAAUGGACGAAAGUCUGAUGCAGCAACGCCGCGUGGAGGAUGACACAUUUCGGUGCGUAAACUCCUUUUAUAUGAGAAGAUAAUGACGGUAUUAUAUGAAUAAGCACCGGCUAACUCCGUGCCAGCCGCCGCAGUAA